UCGGAGUAAUGAUUAACAGGGAC
rnacentral:siRNA from 1 species